rnacentral:rRNA from 1 species
AUCCCAUCAGAACUCCGCAGUUAAGCGUGCUUGGGCUAGAGUAGUACUGGGAUGGGUGACCUCCCGGGAAGUCCUAGUGUUGCACCCU